rnacentral:lncRNA from 10 species
UUUUAAUUAUACUACUCUUAUGUAAAAAUUAGACCAUACUUUUUGGAUUGAUUCAUGCAUCUUGGAUGUCCCACCUCCCUCACUGCACUGCACCGUUAUAUGUUUCAAAGUUCUGUGAUACCCAGGAGACAACUUUUGUCCUUUGCCAUCCGAAGUUAUUCAGCUAUGUUUCUUAUUUCAUGGGUCAGCUGCUUUCUUUGUUCUCCAUCCAUGAAGGAUAAACCCAACAUUUCUUAAUGGAUUGGAAGUAAGCAGUGGGAUUCUUAACUGUAUUGUGGAUCUUGGCUUGUCACAGAUGAAUUGCUUCUCUUUGAUACAACCUGAGCAAUCUAUCUAGUAUGUGGGAAAAAUGUCAUCUCUGUGGAAGAAGAAACACAAUUCAGACCAAAGAGAAGCUUCUCUUAUUUAAAAUGAAUGGUGACUAUUGGUGGAUGACAAAUCCCCAGUUAGUUUAAAGCUGCUAGCUGAUUGUCUGUUGAAUGAUAAACACGGCUGAAAAACUAAGACAGUGUAGAUGCACCAUGGGUAAUUCCUCUUACAAUAAGUUAAACUACUAAAUGUUGAUAAUAUAAUAGAAGCAUGAAACUGUAUUUUUGUUUUCUUUUAUAAAUGAGGUAAGAGGAAAAUGGAAAUUCAUAUUUUUCUAAGUGUGCCAAAAAGAAUGGUUUAGUAAACAUAGACUUAUAAAUGUGUUUGGAAAAAGCUGGGCUGAGGGUAAUUAAGGAGAGAAUCACUCUGGAAGCUAACGUUGGGAGUGGGAGAGUGACUCAAGGCUGCCCAGAUUCCUCAGUGACUAAUAAUUAUCAAAUUUCUAUGCAGACAAUGACCAAUUUUCAAAGAAGGGAUGGCUUCUCAGUAUGUUGCCCAGGCUGGUCUCGAACUCCUGCCCUCAAGCAAUGCUCCCAUCUUAGCCUCUAA